rnacentral:rRNA from 1 species
UACGUAGGGUGCAAGCGUUAAUCGGAAUUACUGGGCGUAAAGCGUGCGCAGGCGGUUAUGUAAGACAGUUGUGAAAUCCCCGGGCUCAACCUGGGAACUGCAUCUGUGACUGCAUAGCUAGAGUACGGUAGAGGGGGAUGGAAUUCCGCGUGUAGCAGUGAAAUGCGUAGAUAUGCGGAGGAACACCGAUGGCGAAGGCAAUCCCCUGGGCCUGCACUGACGCUCAUGCACGAAAGCGUGGGGAGCAAACAGG